GACGAACGCUGGCGGCGUGCUUAACACAUGCAAGUCGAACGGAAAGGCCCGGCGUUUGUUGGGUGCUCGAGUGGCGAACGGGUGAGUAACACGUGAGGAACCUGCCCUUGACUUUGGGAUAACUUCAGGAAACUGGGGCGAAUACCGGAUAGGAGCUCCUGCUGCAUGGGGGGGGUUGGAAAGUUUCGGCGGUUGGGGAUGUACUCGCGGCUUAUCAGCUUGUUGGUGGGGUAGUGGCUUACCAAGGCUUUGACGGGUAGCCGGCCUGGCAGGGUGACCGGCCCCAUUGGGACUGGGGUACGGCCAGACUCCUACCGGCGGCAGUAGUGGGGAAUAUUGCACAAUGGGCGGAAGCCUGAUGCAGCAACGCCGCGUGCGGGAUGCCGGCCUUCGGGCUGUAAACCGCUUUCGAAUGUGACGAAGCGUGAGUGACGGUAAUGGGUAAAGAAGCACCGGCUAACUACGUG
rnacentral:rRNA from 1 species